GUCAGGUAGAUAUCAUACAGCCAUGUUGAUUUGAUAUUGAUACUGAGUUUUCAUGAAUAGGUGAUUUCAUUGAAGAAAAAUUGAAACACAGAAUCAAGUAAUAAAGCAGGAAAUCUUUCUUUUUCAUGGAUUCUAUUUCUUUCUUUGAUAUAGCCGUCCACGUUUGCAUGCCAAUUUCAUUUUCCCUGUGCUAGUAUUCCCACUUGUAUCUAUUUGCUACUUCAAUUUCUUUUAGUUUGCUAGAAAGUAUACUUGGUUGGAGUUUUU
rnacentral:misc_RNA from 1 species